UACGAAGGGUGCGAGCGUUAUUCGGAAUCACUGGGCGUAAAGGGUGCGUAGACGGUAUGUUAAGUUUGUUGUUAAAGGCUCCGGCCUAACUGGAGUAUUGCGAUGAAAACUGGCAAACUAGAGGGUGAGAGAGAGAAGUGGAAUUCCCGGUGUAGCGGUGAAAUGCUUAGAUAUCGUCAAGAACACCGAUAGCGAAGGCAGCUUACUAGACUGUAACUGACGCUGAGGCACGAAAGUGUGGGGAUCAAACAGG
rnacentral:rRNA from 1 species